CUGAGGCAGCAACAACUUCCACAAAUUUCUUUCCCUUCGGAGUCGUAGGUUCCAGAUUUUCAAUGCAUUCUGUUCAUUAGUUCAUUUGAGGAAUGCUUCAUGCUUUUAUGUUGAUCGUUGUUCCCCGAGACGGCCUCUUGAAUAUCUGCAUCAGUGCUCUAGGAGUGAUGGGGUCAGAACUUGAUGUCCCUAAGGCUCUGGGAUACAACGGCAAGCUGAAUAGCAAUCAGGCUGAAUGACAAACAUAUGAAGAACGGUUGCAGGAACUGG